CCAGAAAACUUCAAAAGCAGGUGUGUUUUAACAGAGGGCAAAAAUCUCUUACCCCUAAGCCUCUGCACCUGUCACCGAGAAGGGAGGGCCUGUGGGGCUGCCCUAGGCCUGAGCAGGAAGGGUUGGCAUUAUAGAGGCCAGGGCUGCUUGGAAGACGGCUCAGCAAAAACCCACAGAAGAAAUGAGAUGAGAUCUCCUAAGGUUGCCUACAUGAAGGAACUUCACUUCAAAGCACUGUCCAGUGCCUGACUGCGUUCCAAAAGGGGCCGCCACAUAAUGACCGACCUACAAGGCUCACUGUCACACAGCCAGUCCUACGUUCUGGGGUCAGUGGAGAAUAUAUUGAGACCAGAAGAACAGAGUGGAGCACUAUGUGGAGGUCAGAUAAAAGGCAACUUGCAGCUGUCAAGUCUUUUCUUCCACCAUGUGGGUCCCAGGGAUUGAUGUCAGGUUGUCACAAUAGUGAAUGCCUUUAUCCAUGGAGCCAUCUCAUUGGCCUAAUACAUAUUGCAAUAUCCUACACUUUUGGAAUCUGUAUUUUAUUUGCAGGUUAACCAAGUUCAACCGUUCACCUGCUUCCAAAGCAAAACUACAACCCUUGGAAACCUAGCCGCGCCAACCCAAACUUCACCACCUGGCUCCUAGCCAGCAUGAAGGGCGGGACCAGUGCACGAGGAGGCGGGGCCGGCGUGAACGCCCCGCCCCCGGCAGUCACAGAAGUCCGACACCCCCCGCGUUGAGCC